UACGAAGGGGGCUAGCGUUGCUCGGAAUCACUGGGCGUAAAGCGCACGUAGGCGGAUCUUUAAGUCAGGGGUGAAAUCCCGGAGCUCAACUCCGGAACUGCCUUUGAUACUGAGGGUCUCGAGUCCGGGAGAGGUGAGUGGAACUGCGAGUGUAGAGGUGAAAUUCGUAGAUAUUAGGAAGAACACCAGUGGCGAAGGCGGCUCACUGGCCCGGUACUGACGCUGAGGCGCGAAAGCGUGGGGAGCAAACAGG
rnacentral:rRNA from 1 species